CCUUGGUAGGGAGGGGAGAGUGCCUCUGUCAGCUGAUAGGAUCCCCACCGGGUCCGUUCCUCGGGGCGAUUUACCGGGGACCAACCUACGGGAGCGCGCGGGCAGUAACCCGCCGCGGAAUUCUUGUGUGCUGUAGUCGAGAACGAGAGUGAUGGAGGAGCACCUAGAGGCUGGGAAGGAGAGCAAGCCCUCCUCCAUGUCUCCGGACCUGCAGGGAGACAGCUCGUUACAGGUGGAGAUCUCUGAUGCCGUCAGCGAGCGGGACAAGGUGAAAUUCACUGUUCAAACCAAGAGCUGCGUCCCUCACUUCGCCCGGACCGAGUUCUCAGUUGUGCGACAUCAUGAGGAGUUCAUCUGGCUACACAACGCCUACGUGGAAAACGAGGAGUACGCCGGUCUCAUUAUCCCCCCAGCCCCUCCAAGGCCAGACUUUGAGGCUUCAAGGGAAAAACUGCAGAAGUUGGGUGAGGGAGACAGCUCUAUCACACGGGAAGAGUUUGCCAAAAUGAAGGAGGAGCUGGAAGCGGAGUAUCUGGCCAUCUUUAAGAAGACAGUUGCGAUGCAUGAAGUCUUUCUGCAGCGCCUGGCGGCCCACCCCACCCUGCGUCGAGACCACAACUUCUUUGUCUUUUUGGAAUAUGGCCAGGAUCUGAGUGUCCGAGGAAAGAACAGGAAGGAGCUCCUUGGGGGGUUUCUGAGGAAUAUUGUGAAGUCUGCAGAUGAAGCCCUCAUCACUGGCAUGUCAGGGCUCAAGGAGGUGGAUGACUUCUUCGAGCAUGAGAGGACCUUCCUGCUGGAGUACCACAUCCGCAUCCGGGACGCCUGCCUUCGGGCAGACAGAGUCAUGCACUCUCACAAGUGCCUGGCAGAUGAUUAUAUCCCUAUCUCAGCUGCACUGAGCAGUCUGGGAACACAAGAAGUCAACCAGCUAAAGACGAGCUUCCUCAAAUUGGCAGAGCUCUUUGAACGACUAAGGAAACUGGAGGGCCGAGUGGCUUCUGACGAGGACCUGAAGCUGUCGGACAUGCUGAGGUACUACUUGCGCGACUCACAGGCAGCCAAGGGAUCCUGUGCCCCUGCCGGCCCCAGGACCUGCUGUACCGGCGGCUGCGGGCGCUGGCAGACUAUGAGAAUGCCAACAAGGCACUGGACAAGGCGCGCACCAGGAACCGGGAGGUGCGGACCGCCGAGAGCCACCAGCAGCUGUGCUGCCAGCGCUUUGAACGCCUCUCCGACUCAGCCAAGCAGGAGCUCAUGGACUUCAGAUCCCGCCGCGUCUCCUCCUUCCGCAAGAACCUCAUCGAGCUGGCGGAGCUGGAGCUCAAACACGCUAAGGCCAGCACCCUGCUUCUCCGGAACACCCUUGUCAUCCUCAAGGGGGAACCUUAGAGCCACCAGAGUUCCCCCCGACCUCCCACCCCAGCAAGAUGCCUCCUUCCCCACCCCAGGAGCCACUCACCAUGCCCCGUGACUUCUCGGGGCAAGGCCUACCCCUACCCCAAGGUGCCAGGCCCUGCAAGAUAGGGCAGCAUGGGCACCACACUUGGCCACAGGAAGGUGGAGCCCAAGACACCUGGGUCUGAAGUCCUGGACUCCACCUGGCUGGCCCCACCCUGGCCCCCAGCCACAUCUGCAGAAGGCCAAAGACUCAACCUGGCUUUGGACUCACAGUAGCCACUGGACCCAGCCCUUAUAAAUGAGUCAGCCAUCCAGGGGAGAGAGCAGAGCCAAAGACCAAAUACUGAAAGUGGAGAAAAAGGUCAAGAAGCAACCAGUAACUUGCAGUCUCGGGGCCCACAUCUGGGCAAGACUGCACAGGGGAUCACAGAAUGGGCCUCACUGUCCUACUGCCCACCUGGGUCAAGGCAACAGAAGAAACCAGUUCAGGGAUUAAGCCCCUCUGUUCAAGGAACCCCUGCAGCCAGUAGCAGACACACCCUGGCUCAGCUACCUUCCAGGCUGGUGCCAACUAUGACGCCAGGAUAUAGAGAGAGAACUGUCAGAAAGGAGACUCAGCUAGUCACUGGCGCCAAAUGAGAGCGUGUGGGGCUGGCUGGAAGGAGGGUUAGGGAAGAGAUGCUACACAUUCUCCCAGCCUACCCGCCCCCAAGGUCCCCUGGGCCCCAACCUCCAAACAAACAUCCCAUUAGUGAGCCUUUUUAUUGUUGUGUGUUUUUUUUGUUUUUUUAAUUGAGGGUCCCUUACUGGUCCUGCUUCCAUGAGUGGCUGUGACCAGGGGCAAGGGGGAGGGGAACCAGGUGGCGCAGGGAGGGGUCAUCUCCACAACAUUCCAUUUAUACACAGAACUAAACAGACAAGCACAGAGUCACUAUUGUGGUUAGAAGUUGGCAGCAUGGGAAAAGGGAGGAACAAGGGGGG